GGACGGAACUCUGGAGAGACCUAUUUGAAUAGGCGCCGAAGGGGCAAGGCAAUCUCGCUCAAUCUCUCAGGCAAAAGGACAGGGAUGAAUAG
rfam:Turicibacter sanguinis PC909 contig00107, whole genome shotgun sequence.